AUUGAACGCUGGCGGCAUGCCUUACACAUGCAAGUCGAACGGCAGCGGGCCUUCGGGUGCCGGCGAGUGGCGAACGGUGAGUAAUGCAUCGGAACGUGCCAUUGAGUGGGGGAUAACGUAGCGAAAGUUACGCUAAUACCGCAUAUUCUGUGAGCAGGAAAGCAGGGGACCGCAAGGCCUUGCGCUCUUUGAGCGGCCGAUGUCAGAUUAGCUAGUUGGUGAGGUAAAGGCUUACCAAGGCGACGAUCUGUAGCGGGUCUGAGAGGAUGAUCCGCCACACUGGAACUGAGACACGGUCCAGACUCCUACGGGAGGCAGCAGUGGGGAAUUUUGGACAAUGGGCGCAAGCCUGAUCCAGCCAUGCCGCGUGAGUGAAGAAGGCCU
rnacentral:rRNA from 1 species